UACGGAAGGGGCGAGCGUUGUUCGGAAUCAUUGGGCGUAAAGGGCGCGUAGGUGGUUCUGUAUGUCUACCGUGAAAGCGUACGGCUCAACCGUAUUUUGUCGGUAGAAACUGCAGGACUUGAGGCUGGGAGGGGCUGGUGGAAUUCCCUGUGUAGCGGUGAAAUGCGUAGAGAUAGGGGAGAACACUCGUGGCGAAGGCGGCCAGCUAGACCAGUUCUGACACUGAGGCGCGACAGCGUGGGGAGCAAACAGG
rnacentral:rRNA from 1 species